AGAUUGAACGCUGGCGGCAUGCCUAACACAUGCAAGUCGAACGGGAGUAGCAAUACUCUAGUGGCGGACGGGUGAGGAAUACGUAGGAAUUUGCCCUUAAGUGGGGGAUAACCCGGGGAAACCCGGAUUAAUACCGCAUGACCUCGAAAGAGCAAAGUGGGGGAUCGCAAGACCUCACGCUUUUGGAGAAGCCUACGUCGGAUUAGCUAGUUGGUGAGGUAAUGGCUCACCAAGGCGACGAUCCGUAACUGG
rnacentral:rRNA from 1 species